rnacentral:rRNA from 1 species
GAUGAACGCUGGCGGCGUGCUUAACACAUGCAAGUCGAACGGUGAAGCCAAGCUUGCUUGGUGGAUCAGUGGCGAACGGGUGAGUAACACGUGAGCAACCUGCCCUGGACUCUGGGAUAAGCGCUGGAAACGGCGUCUAAUACUGGAUAUGAGACGUGAUCGCAUGGUCGUGUUUGGAAAGAUUUUUCGGUCUGGGAUGGGCUCGCGGCCUAUCAGCUUGUUGGUGAGGUAAUGGCUCACCAAGGCGUCGACGGGUAGCCGGCCUGAGAGGGUGACCGGCCACACUGGGACUGAGACACGGCCCAGACUCCUACGGGAGGCAGCAGUGGGGAAUAUUGCACAAUGGGCGAAAGCCUGAUGCAGCAACGCCGCGUGAGGGAUGACGGCCUUCGGGUUGUAAACCUCUUUUAGCAGGGAAGAAGCGAAAGUGACGGUACCUGCAGAAAAAGCGCCGGCUAACUACGUGCCAGCAGCCGCGGUAAUACGUAGGGCGCAAGCGUUAUCCGGAAUUAUUGGGCGUAAAGAGCUCGUAGGCGGUUUGUCGCGUCUGCUGUGAAAUCCCGAGGCCCCCCUUAAGAGAUGCAAUGGGUACGGGCAGACUAUAGAGCGGUACCUUAAAUAGGAAUUCCUGUGGUGAGGGGGGAAUGGGCCAAAAUCAUGAGGAAAACCCAGGGGGAAGGGAGAUUUCUGGGCCGGUAUCGAACCCAUAGGAGGCAAAAGGGGGGAGAAUAAACAAGGAUAUAUACACCGGGUAUCCCCCCCCUAAAACCAGGGAUAGAUAUGGGGGGGGGGUUUCCGCCCCUUCGUGCGGCAGCUAAUGCAUUAUGCACUCCGCCUGGGGAGUACGGCCGCAAGGCUAAAACUCAAAGGAAUUGACGGGGGACCCGCACAAGCGGCGGAGCAUGCGGAUUAAUUCGAUGCAACGCGAAGAGCCUUACCAAGGCUUGACAUAUACGAGAACGGGCCAGAAAUGGUCAACUCUUUGGACACUCGUAAACAGGUGGUGCAUGGUUGUCGUCAGCUCGUGUCGUGAGAUGUUGGGUUAAGUCCCGCAACGAGCGCAACCCUCGUUCUAUGUUGCCAGCACGUAAUGGUGGGAACUCAUGGGAUACUGCCGGGGUCAACUCGGAGGAAGGUGGGGAUGACGUCAAAUCAUCAUGCCCCUUAUGUCUUGGGCUUCACGCAUGCUACAAUGGCCGGUACAAAGGGCUGCAAUACCGUGAGGUGGAGCGAAUCCCAAAAAGCCGGUCCCAGUUCGGAUUGAGGUCUGCAACUCGACCUCAUGAAGUCGGAGUCGCUAGUAAUCGCAGAUCAGCAACGCUGCGGUGAAUACGUUCCCGGGUCU